UUCCGGUUGAUCCCGCCGGACCCCACUGCUAUUUGGGUGAGAAUAAGCCAUGCAAGUUGAAUGGGAUACCUAAACUUCCCAUAGCAAACUGCUCAGUAACACAUGAUCAACUUACCCUAUAGAGAAAAAUAACCUCGGGAAACUGAGGAUAAUAUUUCAUAGUUGAAAAGGCUUGGAAAAGUUUUUCAAUAAAAAGGAUAAGAAAAAUGGUUCUUGUCUGCUCUAGGAUAGGAUCGUGGACGAUUAUGGUUGUUGGUGAGGUAAUGGCUCACCAAGCCGAUAAUCGAUAGGGGCCGUGAGAGCGGGAGCCCCGAGAUGGGUACUGAGACAACGACCCAGGCCUUACGAGGCGCAGCAGGCGCGGAACCUCCGCAAUACACGAAAGUGUGACGGGGUUACCCAAAGUGUUCAAUUUUGAACUGUGGUAGGUGAGUAAUGUCCCCUACUAGAAAGGAGAGGGCAAGGCUGGUGCCAGCCGCCGCGGUAAAACCAGCUCUUCAAGUGGUCGGGAUAAUUAUUGGGCUUAAAGUGUCCGUAGCCGGUUUAGUAAGUUCCUGGUAAAAUCGGGUAGCUUAACUAUCCGUAUGCUAGGAAUACUGCUAUACUAGAGGGCGGGAGAGGUCUGAGGUACUACAGGGGUAGGGGUGAAAUCUUAUAAUCCUUGUAGGACCACCAGCGGCGAAGGCGUCAGACUGGGACGCGCCUGACGGUGAGGGACGAAAGCCAGGGGAGCGAACCGGAUUGGAUACCCGGGUAGUCCUGGCUGUAAACGAUGCAUACUAGGUGAUGGUAUGGCCAUGAGCCAUAUCAGUGCCGUAGGGAAACCGUUAAGUGUGCCGCCUGGGAAGUACGGUCGCAAGGCUAAAACUUAAAGGAAUUGGCGGGGGAGCACCACAAGGGGUGAAGCCUGCGGUUCAAUUGCCCCCCAUUUACCCGG
rnacentral:rRNA from 1 species